rnacentral:rRNA from 1 species
AGUGAACGCUGGCGGUAGGCCUAACACAUGCAAGUCGAACGGCAGCACAGUAAGAGCUUGCUCUUACGUGUGGCGAGUGGCGGACGGGUGAGGAAUACAUCGGAAUCUACUUUUUCGUGGGGGAUAACGUAGGGAAACUUACUCUAAUCCCGCAUACGACCUACGUGUGAAAGCAGGGGAUCUUCUGACCUUGCGCGAUUGAAUGAGCCGAUGUCGGAUUAGCUAGUUGGCGGGGUAAAGGCCCACCAAGGCGACGAUCCGUCGCUGGUCUGAGAGGAUGAUCAGCAAAACUGGAACUGAGACACGGUCCAGACUCCUACGGGAGGCAGAAGUGGGGAAUAUUGGACAAUGGGAGCAAGCCUGAUCCAGCCAUACCGCGUGGGUGAAGAAGGCCUUCGGGUUGUAAAGCCCUUUUGUUGGGAAAGAAAAGCAGCAGGUUAAUACCCCGCUGUUCUGACGGUACCCAAAGAAUAAGCACCGGCUAACUUCGUG